UUCUCUGCUGGCUAGUGCUCUCCAGUGGUGAGCCGAAUUGAACUCCCAGCCUAGGACACGAGGUUGGGCAUUACUUGAUUUCCAAUGCCAAAAGCAUGGGAACAAGA
rnacentral:snoRNA from 1 species